rnacentral:lncRNA from 1 species
UACUUCCUUUCACAAGCAACCACAUCUACAAUUCUAAUCAUAGCUGUUAUUAUCAAUAUAAUGUACUCUGGACAAUGAAAACCACAAAAAUACUAACCCAAGCAGCAUUCCUAACAGUUACCAUAGCUCUUGUGAUAAAAUUCCCGUUCUAUUUCUGAAUCCCAGAAGUAACACAAGGGAUCUCAUUAACAUCAGGUAUAAAUAAUCCUCCUUACAUAACAAAAACUAGCACCAGUCUCCAUCAUAUUUCAAGUCUACCCUUAAUAGACCUAAAUAUGCUACUGGCAAUUGCAGCACUAUCUGUCCCGAAGAGGGCUGAGGCCGACUUAACCAAACACAACUCCGAAAUAUCUUGGCCUACUCAUCAGUUGCUCCUAUAGGCUGAAUAAUCACAAUUUUAGCCUACAACCCUUCUAUCACAAUCCUAAAUCUAUGGAUUUACAUAACCCUAACAAUUACAGUAUUUAUAUUAUUUAAUCUAAGUACAAGUACUAUAACAUUAUCACUACAUUAUAUAUGAAAUAAGUUACCACUACUACUUCCACAAUUCUUAUCAAUUUUCCCUACUGGGACUAACCCCCCUUACAGGAUUUAUACCCAAAGGAGUUAUCAUUCAAGAAUUAACAACAAAAUAGCCUUAUUAUACCCACACAUAGAGCUGUCACAGCGCUAUUUAAUCAAUGUUUCUACAUACGCCUAAUUUACUCCACAUCACUAGUGAUAUUCCCAACAACUAAUAACAUAAAAAUAAAAUGACAAAGAAACUAUAAAGCAAGCCCUCUUUUUAUCACCACUCAUUACUGUAUGGACCCUAUUCCUACCACUCUUACUCUCACCAAUA